rnacentral:sRNA from 1 species
GCCACCCCUAGCCCGACGGGGCAAAAAGCGGAAACCUUCACCGCCUGGGGUGGCGUCUUAAUGAAGG